rnacentral:misc_RNA from 1 species
UUGGGUGUUUGCUGCUUUCCUUGUGGCUCACCUCAAAUGCGUCAGUGCACCUCUUGGUUGGACAUAGUACGGCGUGAUAAGUGUCUUCGCCGGCACCUCGGAAGAGGGUGGCCGAUCGAGAGCUCUGUGCUUUCAAACCGUCUUCAGACACUUUCUGACAACUUGACCUCAAAUCGAGUAGGACUACCCGCUGAACUUAA